GACGUUGGAAAUUUAUUUUCAGUGUCGCAGGGAAACCGAUAAACACACCGCCUGGGGAGUACGACCGCAAGGUUAAAACUCAAAUGAAUUGACGGGGACCCGCACAAGUAGUGGAGCAUGUGGUUUAAUUCGAAGAUACGCGCAGAACCUUACCAACACUUGACAUGUUCGUCGCGACUCUAAGAGAUUAGAGUUUUCGGUUCGGCCGGACGAAACACAGGUGCUGCAUGGCUGUCGUCAGCUCGUGUCGUGAGAUGUUGGGUUAAGUCCCGCAACGAGCGCAACCUUCACUUUUAGUUGCCAUCAUUAAGUUGGGCACUCUGAAAGAACUGCCAGUGAUAAGCUGGAGGAAGGUGGGGAUGACGUCAAGUCCUCAUGGCCCUUACGUGUUGGGCUACACACGUGCUACAAUGGCAUCUACAACAGGAAGCAAAACGGCAACGUUAAGCAAAUCCCGAAAAGAUGCCUCAGUUCGGAUUGCACUCUGCAACUCGAGUGCAUGAAGCUGGAAUUACUAGUAAUCGUGGAUCAGCGUGCCACGGUGAAUGCGUUCCCGGGUCUUGUACACACCGCCCGUCACACCAUGGGAGUUGGUUCUACCUUAAGGCAAGGUUUUAAACCCUUGACCACGGUAUAGUCAGCGACUGGGGUG
rnacentral:rRNA from 1 species